rnacentral:rRNA from 1 species
GUGGGGAAUAUUGGACAAUGGGCGAAAGCCUGAUCCAGCCAUGCCGCGUGUGUGAAGAAGGUCUUCGGAUUGUAAAGCACUUUAAGUUGGGAGGAAGGGCAGUAAGUUAAUACCUUGCUGUUUUGACGUUACCAACAGAAUAAGCACCGGCUAACUUCGUGCCAGCAGCCGCGGUAAUACGAAGGGUGCAAGCGUUAAUCGGAAUUACUGGGCGUAAAGCGCGCGUAGGUGGUUUUGUAAGUUGGAGGUGAAAUCCCCGGGCUCAACCUGGGAACUGCCUCCAAAACUGCAUGACUAGAGUACGGUAGAGGGUAGUGGAAUUUCCUGUGUAGCGGUGAAAUGCGUAGAUAUAGGAAGGAACACCAGUGGCGAAGGCGACUACCUGGACUGAUACUGACACUGAGGUGCGAAAGCGUGGGGAGCAAACAGGAUUAGAAACCCCUGUAGUCC